rnacentral:rRNA from 1 species
UGGGGAAUAUUGGACAAUGGGCGAAAGCCUGAUCCAGCCAUGCCGCGUGUGUGAAGAAGGUCUUCGGAUUGUAAAGCACUUUAAGUUGGGAGGAAGGGCAGUAAGCGAAUACCUUGCUGUUUUGACGUUACCGACAGAAUAAGCACCGGCUAACUCUGUGCCAGCAGCCGCGGUAAUACAGAGGGUGCAAGCGUUAAUUGGAAUUACUGGGCGUAAAGCGCGCGUAGGUGGUUCGUUAAGUUGAAUGUGAAAGCCCCGGGCUCAACCUGGGAACUGCAUCCAAAACUGGCGAGCUAGAGUAGGGCAGAGGGUGGUGGAAUUUCCUGUGUAGCGGUGAAAUGCGUAGAUAUAGGAAGGAACACCAGUGGCGAAGGCGACCACCUGGGCUCAUACUGACACUGAGGUGCGAAAGCGUGGGGAGCAAACAGG